rnacentral:rRNA from 1 species
GAUGAACGCUAGCUACAGGCUUAACACAUGCAAGUCGAGGGGUAACGAGAGGAAAGCUUGCUUUCCUUGUCGACGACCGGCGCACGGGUGAGUAACGCGUAUCCAACCUGCCCCCAACUAGGGAAUUACCUUGCGAAAGUAAGACUAAUACCCUAUAAUUUCCUCAGAUGUCAUCUGACGAGGAAUAAAGAUUUAUCGGUUGUGGAUGGGGAUGCGUCUGAUUAGCUUGUUGGCGGGGUAACGGCCCACCAAGGCAACGAUCAGUAGGGGUUCUGAGAGGAAGGUCCCCCACAUUGGAACUGAGACACGGUCCAAACUCCUACGGGAGACAGCAGUGAGGAAUAUUGGUCAAUGGGCGGAAGCCUGAACCAGCCAAGUAGCGUGCAGGAUGACGGCCCUAUGGGUUGUAAACUGCUUUUAUACAGGAAUAAAGUUAGCCACGUGUGGUUAUUUGUAGGUACUGUAUGAAUAAGGACCAGCUAAUUCCGUGCCAGCCGCCGCCGUAA